GUUAAACCUUGCUUUGUGACAUGUAGGCUGAUAUGCACCCAAGAGGAGCUUCAAAAAUUGAAGACAGAUAACGCUCAGGUAUGAAUUCCUUCUCGAAAUGCAUACUUGGAUUUGGAAUCCAGUAGUGAUUCCGUUGUUUGAGUGGAUGCUUGGAUUUAUAAGCUAUUCUUGGACACUUAAAACAAAGGUGCCAGAAGGCACUGGAAUUAUGACGAAUACGAACUGUGUAGACGAUAUAUCGACUGAUCUAUUAACUUCUAGGUCUUUUUAAUUAUGUAGGUGAUAUAACCUUUUAUCGUAGUUCUCUUUUUAGUGCAGAUCGUUGUUUAUAAUUGUUUCUGUAAAUGAUUUUAGCGUUAUUUCCUGCUUGUAAAUUAUGAUCCACACGGAAAUGUCGGAACCCCCAACUAAUAUCUCAAAGGAAAACAUAGGUUAAUGCAA